CUCUUUGCAGUGUUUGUAGAAGGGGAAACACUGCAGCAUCUUCACACCCAUUAUGCAAAACUGCAGAAAAUAAAAGACAACAAGCCGGUGACGACACUCGCAAAUCGACAUGUUACAUCACCAGCCAGGUGACAGCUGAGGCUCGGACUUUCUUUCUCCGGACGCGAACAAUGUCCCGCUCAUCGCAUGUUUCGCAACAUCUUAAGCUAUAAGCACCUUCAAGCAUGAUGAGCUGAAGAGUCUCGAUAAUUUCCAAAAAACACAACAGAGGCUUCUAAAAUCCUCACACUGGAUUUUGCAAAACAAUCCAAAGAACCCACCUGAGUC